rnacentral:lncRNA from 1 species
CCAAGGCAGAUCACCUAUACUUAAUGUCAUCACCAAACUUCAUGUAGCCCUGGGACUUGCAGUUUACAGAUGAUGUAUAUCGGUCUUGCCUUCAAGGAUUGGGGUCAGCAACCUUUCUGAGGUGGGGCAGAACUUAGAAGAGAAGAGGAAGAGAGAGAAGAGAGGACCAAAAUAUCCAUUUUACAAAUGGUAGGGGUGGGCGGGGUGGGGUGGUCAACCAUUUAA